GCAAGUCGAGGGGUAACAGGGGAGCUUGCUCCCGCUGACGACCGGGGCACGGGUGCGUAACGCGUAUGCAACCUACCUUCUACUGAGGGAUAGCCCCGAGAAAUUGGGAUUAAUACAUCAUAAUGUUAUUUGAUCGCAUGGUUAGAUAAUUAAAGAAAUUCGGUAGAAGAUGGGCAUGCGUCAGAUUAGCUAGUUGGUGUGGUAACGGCACACCAAGGCUACGAUCUGUAGGGGGCCUGAGAGGGUGACC
rnacentral:rRNA from 1 species